AGGACAAACGCUGGCGGCGUACCUAAGACAUGCAAGUCGAACGGGCGCCUUGCUUUCGGGCAAGGAUGCGAGUGGCGGAUGGGUGAGUAACGCGUAGGAACCUGUCCUUUUGUGGGGGAUACCAGUGGGAAACCGCUGCUAAUACCGCAUGAGGUCACCAUGGGAGACUGUGGUGAAGAAAGGCGAAAGCCGCAGAAGGAGGGGCCUGCGUCCGAUUAGCUGGUUAGUGGGGUAACGGCCUACCAAGGCAUCGAUCGGUAGCUGGUCUGAGAGGAUGGUCAGCCACACUGGGACUGAGACACGGCCCAGACUCCUACGGGAGGCAGCAGUUAGGAAAUUUUCACAAUGGGGGAAACCCUGAUGGAGUAACGCCGCGUGGAGGAAGACGGCCUUCGGUUGUAAACUCUUUCUGUGGAGAGUAGAGACGGUACGCAGGAAGAGUCUCGGCUAACUACGUGCCAGCAGCCGC
rnacentral:rRNA from 1 species